GGAUGCGAUCAUACCAGCACUAAAGCACCGGAUCCCAUCAGAACUCCGAAGUUAAGCGUGCUUGAGCGAGAGUAGUACUAGGAUGGGUGACCUCCUCGUGUUGCAUUCC
rnacentral:rRNA from 1 species